GGAGAGAUGGCUCAGUGGUUAAGAGCACUGUCUGUUCUACCAGAGGUCCUGAGUUCAAUUCCCAGCAACCACA
rnacentral:tRNA from 1 species